GGGUGAGUAACACGUGGGUAACCUGCCUGUAAGACUGGGAUAACUCCGGGAAACCGGGGCUAAUACCGGAUGCUUGUUUGAACCGCAUGGUUCAAACAUAAAAGGUGGCUUCGGCUACCACUUACAGAUGGACCCGCGGCGCAUUAGCUAGUUGGUGAGGUAAUGGCUCACCAAGGCGACGAUGCGUAGCCGACCUGAGAGGGUGAUCGGCCACACUGGGACUGAGACACGGCCCAGACUCCUACGGGAGGCAGCAGUAGGGAAUCUUCCGCAAUGGACGAAAGUCUGACGGAGCAACGCCGCGUGAGUGAUGAAGGUUUUCGGAUCGUAAAGCUCUGUUGUUAGGGAAGAACAAGUACCGUUCGAAUAGGGCGGUACCUUGACGGUACCUAACCAGAAAGCCACGGCUAACUACGUGCCAGCAGCCGCGGUAAUACGUAGGUGGCAAGCGUUGUCCGGAAUUAUUGGGCGUAAAGGGCUCGCAGGCGGUUUCUUAAGUCUGAUGUGAAAGCCCCCGGCUCAACCGGGGAGGGUCAUUGGAAACUGGGGAACUUGAGUGCAGAAGAGGAGAGUGGAAUUCCACGUGUAGCGGUGAAAUGCGUAGAGAUGUGGAGGAACACCAGUGGCGAAGGCGACUCUCUGGUCUGUAACUGACGCUGAGGAGCGAAAGCGUGGGGAGCGAACAGGAUUAGAUACCCUGGUAGUCCACGCCGUAAACGAUGAGUGCUAAGUGUUAGGGGGUUUCCGCCCCUUAGUGCUGCAGCUAACGCAUUAAGC
rnacentral:rRNA from 1 species